ensembl:lncRNA
GUCUCUGAGGCGCGAAUUCCGACAGUGAGAGGAACGGCCGGAUACAGGAGACGGGAAGAAACAAGCCGAUUAUGUUCGCGUUAAUUAGGUGGUUGGAAGAUGUAAAAUUCUCAAUUCUGCCAACUGAACAUAUACGAGAUUUUAAUGAGGAUGAAUAAUCAGCCGGCAUGGAGGAAACGGACCUUUAUUUGGUGGAGUGGCGACAAGAAGCCAAAAGACGGGUGGCCGGUCUAUGAAGCCUCCAUCAUCAAGCUAGCAGCCCAUGAAAUCGAACGCAGAUCUUCCUGAUGUGAGCUUUACAUAAAUUCUUCAGUGGGGGAGAAGCUGAUUGCAGGCUGACAGGAAACGGUGUGCUUUUGCAGAAGCGAAACCGAAACCAGAGCGAGUGCAAGCCAUAAUAAAGAUCUUCAGUGGGGGAGAAGCUGAUUGCAGGCUGACAGGAAACGGUGUGCUUUUGCAGAAGCGAAACCGAAACCAGAGCGAGUGCAAGCCAUAAUAAAGAAUGUCAAAGUCUCAACCUCAUGCUGCCCUCCCCCAUCCUCCUAAAGUUCAAUGGUGCGUGUUCUUCUAAUGGCCGCCUUCCCACUGGAGGUUUUGAUCCACAGCAAUUUAAAAGGAGAACAAAGCAAAACGGACAUCGGCAAGAGAGUGAAGAACUGCCCUUCAUAAGGACACUAUGACAGCCAUAUAUAUGGCCGUAAGGAAGAGGUUUCCCAAUUUGUGCAGAAGGGCUUUGAGGAUUGCAGUGAAAGCUGGGGGAACUGAGACUGCUGGAAAAGGAAAAGAAAUUACAUUUUAAGUAUGUUGACUUAUGUUCAUACAAUCACACACACAUAUACACACACAUAUGUGUGUGUAUAUGUGUAUAUAUAUGUAUAUAUAUAUAUAUAUAUAUAUACACACACA